GUCUACAGCCAUCCCACCCUGAACGUGCCCAAUCUCGUCUGAUCUCAGAAGCUAAGCAGGGUCAGGCCUGGUUAGUACUUGGAUGGGAGAAAACAGGGGAAACA
rnacentral:rRNA from 1 species